rnacentral:rRNA from 1 species
CCCCAGUAAACGGCGGCCGUAACUAUAACGGUCCUAAGGUAGCGAAAUUCCUUGUCGGGUAAGUUCCGACCCGCACGAAAGGCGUAACGAUUUGGGCACUGUCUCAACAACAGACUCGGUGAAAUUGUAAUUCCGGUGAAGAUGCCGGAUACCUGCGACAGGACGGAAAGACCCCAUGGAGCUUUACUGUAGCUUGACAUUGGGUCUUGGUACUACAUGUACAGGAUAGGUG